rnacentral:misc_RNA from 1 species
UACAUCCUCAACCUUCUUGGUUUCUUGACCGAGAAGGCUUGGACUUUGGAGGUUUUCCUUGCUGGCCUCUCUUUUGAAGCCAGCUCCUCCUAAAUGAAUUAGUGGGGUCCGCAUUGCCGAUCCUUGACGUGAUAAGUAUUGCUUCUACGUCUUGGGUUUCGCGCCGUUGUCCUGGAACCUGCUUCUAACGGUCUUCAAAAGAAGACAACGUUCGAGUUGCAUCGCAACUUGACCUCAGUGA